GACGAACCGUGCGAACGUUGUUCGGAAUCACUGGGCUUAAAGGGCGCGUAGGCGGACUGCCAAGUCCGGGGUGAAAUCCUCCGGCUUAACCGGAGAAUUGCCUGGGAUACUGGCGGUCUUGAGGGAGGUAGGGGCACGCGGAACUUCCGGUGGAGCGGUGAAAUGCGUUGAUAUCGGAAGGAACGCCGGUGGCGAAAGCGGCGUGCUGGCCCUCUUCUGACGCUGAGGCGCGACAGCGUGGGGAGCAAACAGG
rnacentral:rRNA from 1 species